GUCGCGUUUUUUGACGGUAUACAAAACAUAGCAACCUCCACACUGCUGGAAAAUACAAUAGAAGAUGAUUCAUUCCAUACCUGCCAACCAUUUCCACCACCAGAAUGCGAAUAGAAUAGCAUAUGGUAGCCUCAGGCAAACACUUUCGGGCCAAUGGAUGUAUCUUUUUGUAAGGCGACCUUGCAGCGAUGGCAGUUGAAAAACAUAGUACAACCAUUAGGAGCGUGUAUGUCGGUCAGGCCGGGCUUUGCGAAUAGCAUGCAGCAGUAACACGCAAAUUUUAACCGGCCAGAGGAUGCAUCU